AUAUUUACAUGGCAGGAGGGUUACCAUGAUCACACAGGUGGUUUUCCCAGGGUGAGGCUCAUCCAUUGUACUCUGGAUGUGCUGACCUCUGUGAUUUCCUCAAACCUGGGAAACUUGCCCGCAGGAUUUGUGAUAGUAGGGGACUGUAAUCACACUGCCCUUUA
ensembl:snRNA U1 U1 spliceosomal RNA